rnacentral:rRNA from 1 species
GACGAACGCUGGCGGCGUGCCUAAUACAUGCAAGUCGAACGCAGUGGGGACGGGUGAGUAACACGUGGGUAAACUCCCAUCAGAGGGGAUAACACUUGGAAACAGGUGCUAAACCGAUACUGAUGGAUGGACCCGCGGUGCUUUAGCUAGUUGGCGAGGUAACGGCUCACCAAGGCCACGAUGCAUAGCCGACAUAAGACGAUGAUCGCCCACACUAGGACUGAGACACGGCCCAGACUCCUACGGUAGGCAACAGUAGGGAAUCUUGGGCAAUGUACGAAAGUGUGACCGAACAACGCCGCGUGAGUGAAGAAGGUGUUCGGGUCGUAAAACUCUGUUGUUAAAGAAACGGUAUCUAACCAGAAUGCCACGGCUAACUACGUGCCAGCAGCCGCGGUAAUUC